GGGGCUAUAGCUCAGAUGGGAGAGCGCCUGCCUUGCACGCAGGAGGUCUGCGGUUCGAUCCCGCAUAGCUCCACCA
rnacentral:tRNA from 1 species